CGUUAAAUAAUAAAUGAAAAUAUAAAGUCAUUAUUUUUUGGAAUUUUAACAGAAGAUGAUCAUCGUUUUUUUCCUUGUGUUCAAUUACUACCGCAAUCAUUUUACGCUAUGUCCAACAACUUCCUCCGCUUCAUGAGACAAUUGCAGGAAACCGCGUAACCUUUAACCCUUUGACGCGUCGUGCAUAAUGUAAUACUUUAUUUUGAGUAUCAAAAUUCCUUUUUGUGAUUAAAUUAUACAAUACCUCGAUGUUUAUCUAAAAUCUCAUCCGUACAUUUAUAUGUUUUUUUAAGUUUCUACAGUAAUUUUCUAUAGUAUAUUUUAAUAAUUGUGGAAAAAGUAACUGUUGCAAAAAUAUUAAACAUAAUAUUUCAGAUCGAUCUCACGGCUCCAAGAUUCAAGGAUUCGUCGAGGAUUGAGAGAGUCGCCGAAUCAAUCGAGGAUUUUAGGAGGAGCGAACGAAUUUCAGUUAAAUGAGUGGAGCGAAGGUAGAAUGAACAAAAAGUGAAUAGAAAUCUGUGAUAUACAAAAAGAGGUAUAAUCAGGUGACGUGCGUAAGGAAAAAUUAAAUAAAGCGAGCUCGACGAAAAUGUUCGAAAGUGCAGAAUAUGUGGCGAAGAAUUAAGACUUAUUAAAAUCGUUUGACCCUGCCUCUUACAUCGCACUAAACCUAAUAUAUGGCUUUAUACCUCGAGCGAGAUGGAUAGGUGGGAACUAUCGGAGGAGAGAACAAGACAACGAAUGAUUGAGGAGGAAGACGAAAAAGGAGGGACCGUAGCGUGUGAAAUCGAGAGUCUUUUAUUGCGUCUAGCCUCCUUCGCAAAUAAUAUCCACCACACUGGGCUCCAUUAGGACUGGUUCCAGACAUCGGUGCACUGCACUGCUCAGAAUUUCAUCCAGCAAACAAUGCACCACACUGCAAGCAACAAAGCCAGCAUUAAUAACGAUUAAAAUUCCCUCUUGUUGAUUUACAAUAAGUCGACGAGAAAGUCAAGUUCUUACUUCUCGUCCGAAACAAAUCUCCAGAGGUAAAGCUGCAGAUAAUGUGUAUCCACUUGGAUCUGUUGCAAACCGUACUUGCUGAAUGUCCGCAGCCUCACACAUUCGAGGAAAGUCUAUACAUGAGGUAAAUCCGACAAUAAAAUCGAUUCUUGUUGCAAGCGAUGGCAGAAGCACGAAGUAUAUUGCGUAGCGAGCGAUGGUGGAGUUUGUGCUGUACAAGCGGGAAGAUAAGUCGGCUUGGCAAAGUGGAUAAUGGCGGUGCUAUUUUGUCAUUGCGUCCACUCUGCAGCACCUGAGCGAUUAUUGCGCGACGUCGUACAUCGUCUGCUAAAAGUAUUACUCCACGAUGAGAAGAUCUCGAUCCGUUCAGAGAAUAACUUAUGGAUAUUCGUCGCCAGCGAGGAAUCUAUGUGACUGGGCGUAUACGACGACCAAUUGGAUCUGUAGUGAUGCCUCGAUACGCUGACACUAAAAAACAUGCAAAUCUUGUGUUUUUUACUUGACACUGAAGCUUGAAGAAUCCAAGGAUCAACUAGCCGAAACAGGUUCGAUCGUGUUCAACCAAUCUCUCGUCUCUACGGACUUUCUCAACAUUUGCGACACUGUUAGACCUUGAAUUCGCACGUAGUGGUUCAGUAGGUUCUGCGCUGCACUCUGAAAGCAGUCACACAUCUCCGACCCUGUGGUGACAAUGUUCUCC